rnacentral:rRNA from 1 species
AGCGAACGCUGGCGGCAGGCCUAAAACAUGUAAGUCGAACGCCGUAGCAAUACGGAGUGGCAGACGGGUGAGUAACACGUGGGAGCGUGCCCUUUGGUUCGGAACAACACAGGGAAACUUGUGCUAAUACCGGAUAAGCCCUUACGGGGAAAGAUUUAUCGCCAAAGGAUCGGCCCGCGUCUGAUUAGCUAGUUGGUGGGGUAACGGCCCACCAAGGCUACGAUCAGUAGCUGGUCUGAGAGGAUGAUCAGCCACACUGGGACUGAGACACGGUCCAGACUCCUACGGGAGGCAGCAGUGGGGAAUUUUGGACAAUGGCGCAAGCCUGAUCCAGCAAUGCCGCGUGCAGGAUGAAGGCCCUCGGGUCGUAAACUUCUUUUAUAAGUGAAGAAUAUGACGGUAACUUAUGAAUAAGCACCGGCUAACUUCGUGCCAGCAGCCGCCGUAA